rnacentral:rRNA from 1 species
GAUGAACGCUGACNGAAUGCUUAACACAUGCAAGUCAACUUGAACUUCGGUUUGGGUGGCGGACGGGUGAGUAACGCGUAAAGAACUUGCCUCACAGAUAGGGACAACAUUUGGAAACGAAUGCUAAUACCUGAUAUUAUGAUUUUAGGGCAUCCUAGAAUUAUGAAAGCUAUAUGCGCUGUGAGAGAGCUUUGCGUCCCAUUAGCUAGUUGGAGAGGUAACGGCUCACCAAGGCGAUGAUGGGCAGCCGGCCUGAGAGGGUGAUCGGCCACAAGGGGACUGAGACACUGCCCUUACUCCUACGGGAGGCAGCAGUGGGGAAUAUUGGACAAUGGACCAAGAGUCUGAUCCAGCAAUUCUGUAUGCACGAUGAAGUUUUUCGGAAUGUAAAGUGCUUUCAGUUGGGAAGAAAAAAAUGACGGUACCAACAGAAGAAGUGACGGCUAAAUACGUGCCAGCAGCCGCGGUAAUACGUAUGUCACAAGCGUUAUCCGGAUUUAUUGGGCGUAAAGCGCGUCUAGGUGGUUAUAUAAGUCUGAUGUGAAAAUGCAGGGCUCAACUCUGUAUUGCGUUGGAAACUGUGUAACUAGAGUACUGGAGAGGUAAGCGGAACUACAAGUGUAGAGGUGAAAUUCGUAGAUAUUUGUAGGAAUGCCGAUGGGGAAGCCAGCUUACUGGACAGAUACUGACGCUGAAGCGCGAAAGCGUGGGUAGCAAACAGG